ACAGAAAACAUGGCUGUGUGGAAGGGCGUAGAGAUCUAUCUGAAUGUGGUGGGAACUGCUCUCCCUCAGCAGGACUGUUAAGCUGGAGAUGCUGGCUGACCUACAAGCUGAAUGUCCUCCCAUGCUAGAGGAAGGGAAGGGUGAAGUAAGGAAGAAGCUACAUACAGAUUUAGCAUCUCCUCACCAGCCUGCCCCUGUUCUGCUGCUGGGAAAGGAACACCGAGACUCUCACAAGGCAGGUUCUGAGAUGCUUUUUUUGCUCAUGGUAAGGAAACAAUUGUGAACUUGGCACCAUGGUCUGGUUAUUACAGUGAGUAGCUUUUCUUUCUCAGGUGUUGCUGAAGCAAGCACUCCGCAAGAGAAAUAAUCUUGUUCUGGUGAACCUCUAGAAAUAGAGUAAUUUUAAUAGGCAUCUCACUGUCAACAGUUGCACAUCUGCUGAGUGGUAAACUAGAAACCAGAAAAAACACCACCAUUUUUCAGUUUUAUGUCAGCAAGAGAAAGUUCUCCAAAGUAUUAAAUGCAAUGCAUGCUCUGUGUGUACUCUGCUUCUGUCAUUGCUACCUGGGCCUUCUUGUGCUUUUCUCUAGUUCACUACUUCAGGUCCUAUGGGGCUGCAAUUAAAGGACUCCCAGAAAUGUCAGUGGCAGAGAUUUGCUGGACCAGAGCAGAGCUUUUCUGCUUCUUUUACCCAUUUCAAGUCUAUCCUUGCAUGUAGUCACUGCCUCAGAGUUUGCAGUCCAGACCUGGCUCCUCCAAAACGCCCAACUUCACAGAUGCAUGACCACCACACCAUACAUCCUCCUCACUUCACUGCUGUUCACGAUUCACAGCCAAGCAAGCAAUUUAAGCUUAUUCAAAACUCAAAAUAUCAGGGAUAUUAUUUUGUUUCUUUAGGCAAAGUAUGUCCUUAAAUGUUUUUGGUAGCUCAGAGCCAACCAGAACCAGCUGUUGUUUCUUCAGGAUGAAGACUGCACUAUAGCCUUUUUGGUCAAAAGGAGGACAAAGUUGUCCUCAAGUUGCCAGUUUGACUUACUUCAGCUGUUGCAGACAGGUUUCCCUUUUUUAUAAGCUUAUCACUCCUCCCCCCCCAACCAUACAGAAAUAUCAAAGAGCACAAAGAACGUUUGGUGGUUGGUAAGUAGAGAGGCUCCAAUGAGAACUAAGAGGAAAAAGAAAGAAGGGAAAGAGAAGCUUCUGUCUUUAUAAAAUGUUUCUGGUCAUGGUCUUCAGAGAAGACAUCUUCUUGCCUCCAAGCACCACACAUGACUCAGUAUCUGUUUGAUCCCGCUCAUGAUUUUUCAUCAGUCUUGAAAAAGCCCUGAGGAGGGUUUCCAGGCAGCCAGCGACAAAAUUUGAUAGGGCUUUAUGCAGGCAUGACUCAAAAGCGAAAAAAGCUCAGCUCAUUAGAUGAAAGUUCAGUGUUUUGGACAGAGUCAGGCUGUCAAUGCCAAGGGCUGUGUGCUCUGGCAAAGCAAGAAGCACAAAUAAAUGCUUCAUAAUUUGUACAUCAGUGGCACUUGAGGGAGGAGGGGAAUAAGCGAAGAAUAGCCUGCACAUUGAUGAAUGCUACUCUCCAACACCUCCCUGCUAUAAGCUGGCCCUACCUUAUUACAGGGCUUGCCCCUACUCACAUGGCUGACAGGAGACUAAUAGAAUCGUAGAAUCAUUAAGGUUGGAAAAGACCUCCAAGAUUAUCAAGCACUGGCCAAGUGCCAACCACUAAAAGCACCAGCCAAGAUGUGACAUCCGUUACAGGGAUUAAUUUUGGGGCAAGAUGAUUCUUUUUUGUUAAUUGCACCACGAGGUUUAGCUUGGAGAUUCCUUGUUAAAACUCUCUAAUGGAGGGGCACAGCAGCUACAGAGCAGGAGUAAACUUAUGAGCAUCUCCCUAGUUAUCUUCAGCUGCGUGGUCUAUGAAGUGCUUCAGAACUGCAGCGGUUUUGCUUGUUUGAAGAUGCGGAUACCUUGAGUACGUGCGUAUGCGGGUGUACAUCUCCUUUGCCCACACUCUGCAUUGGUGUGAACUUAAAAGUGGAUCAGCCUGUAAUUUCUUUUUCCUUAAAUAAAGCACAC
rnacentral:lncRNA from 7 species